CCCCCCCCCCCCCCAAAUCCGACGCCGGCCUACGACCCCUCAGCCGGCGGCGGCUAUGGCGUUCGGCGAGCGCAUCACCACCUUCGAGGACAGCGAGAAGGAGAGCGAGUACGGAUACGUCCGCAAGGUCUCUGGACCUGUGGUUGUGGCUGAUGGAAUGGGUGGUGCUGCCAUGUAUGAACUUGUUCGUGUUGGUCAUGACAACCUCAUUGGGGAAAUUAUUGUCUUGAGGGUGCCUCAGCUACAAUUCAAGUUUAUGAGGAAACAGCUGGGCUGAUGGUAAAUGACCCAGUGUUGAGAACAAGAAAGCCUCUCUCAGUUGAAUUGGGGCCUGGCAUUCUUGGCAACAUUUUUGACGGGAUUCAGCGCCCUCUAAAAACCAUUGCUAUUAAAUCUGGGGAUGUGUAUAUACCACGCGGUGUAUCAGUCCCUGCCCUUGACAAAGAUCAGCUGUGGGAAUUUCAGCCAAACAAGCUAGGCGUUGGAGAUGCCAUCACGGGUGGAGAUUUAUAUGCUACUGUAUUUGAGAAUACACUGAUGGAACACCAUGUUGCCCUUCCUCCUGGUUCUAUGGGGAAAAUAAGCUACAUUGCCCCUGCUGGUCAAUACAGUUUGCAGGAUACAGUUUUGGAACUGGAAUUUCAAGGGAUCAAAAAGCAAUUUACUAUGCUCCAGACAUGGCCUGUGCGCUCACCAAGGCCUGUUGCAUCAAAGCUUGCUGCCGAUACACCUCUCUUAACAGGACAGCGUGUGCUCGAUGCAUUGUUUCCCUCAGUGCUUGGAGGGACAUGUGCUAUUCCUGGGGCAUUUGGUUGUGGAAAAACUGUCAUUAGUCAGGCACUUUCAAAGUAUUCCAAUUCUGAAGCUGUGGUUUAUGUGGGCUGUGGGGAACGAGGGAAUGAGAUGGCUGAGGUCCUUAUGGAUUUCCCUCAAUUGACAAUGACAUUGAAGGAUGGACGUGAAGAAUCAGUCAUGAAAAGAACAACUCUUGUGGCUAACACCUCAAACAUGCCUGUUGCUGCUCGUGAAGCAUCCAUUUAUACAGGAAUUACAAUUGCUGAAUACUUCCGUGAUAUGGGCUAUAAUGUGAGUAUGAUGGCUGAUUCUACUUCUCGAUGGGCUGAAGCAUUGCGUGAAAUUUCAGGACGCUUGGCCGAAAUGCCUGCGGAUAGUGGUUACCCCGCAUAUUUGGCUUCACGUUUGGCGUCGUUUUAUGAACGUGCUGGGAAGGUCAAAUGUCUUGGCAGUCCAGAUCGGACUGGCAGUGUCACAAUUGUUGGUGCUGUCUCUCCUCCUGGUGGUGAUUUCUCAGAUCCUGUUACCUCUGCAACCCUUAGUAUUGUGCAGGUGUUCUGGGGAUUGGAUAAGAAACUGGCUCAAAGGAAGCAUUUCCCAUCUGUGAAUUGGCUCAUUUCGUAUUCAAAAUAUGCCAAGGCUCUGGAAUCCUUCUACGAAAAGUUUGAUCCAGACUUCAUUGAUAUUAGGACAAAAGCUCGUGAAGUGUUACAGAGAGAGGAUGAUCUAAAUGAAAUUGUCCAGCUUGUUGGCAAAGAUGCUCUGGCAGAAACUGACAAGAUUACUCUGGAGACAGCAAAGCUCCUUAGGGAAGAUUACUUGGCCCAGAAUGCAUUUACACCAUAUGACAAGUAUUGCCCAUUCUACAAAUCUGUUUGGAUGAUGCGCAACAUUAUUCACUUCAACACAUUAGCGAACCAGGCUGUGGAACGAGCCGCCAAUGUUGAUGGACAAAAGAUAACCUACAGCGUUAUAAAGCAUCGUCUCGGUGACCUUUUCUACCGUCUAGUUUCCCAGAAAUUCGAGGAUCCUGCAGAAGGUGAAGAUGCCCUAGUCGCAAAAUUCCAGAAACUGUAUGAUGAUCUUACUGCCGGAUUCCGCAACCUAGAAGAUGAAGCACGAUGAAUAUUGUAAAUCCCGCAUAGACAAUAUGACCACCAAAUUCCCUGGAAGGUUCUGGGAGCAGUCUGUUUAGCAAGCCUGAGGUUGUAGAUGUAAAUUACGUAUCAGAUUUCCCCCUACAAACGCUGUUAUUUUUUGUUAAUUCCCUUUGCCCUCCGGUUAUCGAUGGACACACCGUUUUGAUGUACCAUUAUUUAUUGUAAGAUGCUUGUGCACAUGUUCAUAGUUGAAUAAGCACGAUGCCCCUCUGCUCGAACAGCAGUAUAUAUAUUUUGUUUGUGAACUUUUA